rnacentral:rRNA from 1 species
AUGGAUCAGCGGGAGGGCAGCAGGAAGCGUGCGCGGGGAGAGGAGGAGGAGGGGGACUCGCCGCCAGCGAAGAUGUCGGCUCUGGCGGCGGCGGCGGCGGCUGAUGCGCUGGCUGAAGCGGCAUUCCAUGAGGCGGCGCCGGCGGUGGUGGAGGGUGGGGAUGGGGAUGGGGAUGCGUGGAAGCCGCCGCCGGGGGUGUUCGACUUCCCGUGGCUGAGUUGCCAUGGCGGCCUGGACGCCCCCGUCACCAGCCCCCUGGUGGAGCUCCGGGAGGUGUUCUUCCGGUCGGCUGUGGACGGGCACGUGGCGGCGGUAGGCGUGCCCGGCGACCGCUUCAUCGCGCCGCCGAGCAACAUGCUGCUGUUCGUCGUCUUGGAGGAGUGGGUCGUCACCGCCGGCGACGACGAGGUGGACCCCAUGUGGCGCGCCGUGCUCGAGGGGGCCAAUCCCGCCGCAUGA